rnacentral:rRNA from 1 species
UACGGAGGGUGCAAGCGUUAUCCGGAUUCACUGGGUUUAAAGGGUGCGUAGGCGGGUUUGUAAGUCCGUGGUGAAAUCUCUGAGCUUAACUCAGAAACUGCCGUGGAUACUAUUUGCCUUGAAUAUUGUGGAGGUGGGCGGAAUAUGUCAUGUAGCGGUGAAAUGCUUAGAUAUGACAUAGAACACCAAUUGCGAAGGCAGCUCACUACACAAUUAUUGACGCUGAGGCACGAAAGCGUGGGGAUCAAACAGG